AACGAACGCUGGCGGCAUGCCUAACACAUGCAAGUCGAACGCCCGUAGCAAUACAGGAGUGGCAGACGGGUGAGUAACACGUGGGAAUCUACCCAGUAGCUCGGAAUAACCGCGGGAAACUGCGGCUAAUACCGGAUAAGCCCCGAGGGGGAAAGGAGCAAUCCACUAUUGGAGGAGCCCGCGUCUGAUUAGCUAGUUGGUGAGGUAACGGCUCACCAAGGCGACGAUCAGUAGCUGGUUUGAGAGAACGACCAGCCACACUUGGACUGAGACACGGCCCAGACUCCUACGGGAGGCAGCAGUGGGGAAUAUUGGACAAUGGGGGAAACCCUGAUCCAGCAAUGCCGCGUGGGUGAUGAAGGCCUUCGGGUUGUAAAGCACUUUUGUCGGGGACGAUGAUGACGGUACCCGACGAAUAAGCUCCGGCUAACUUCGUGCCAGCAGCCGCAGUAA
rnacentral:rRNA from 1 species